CUGGUGUCAGCCGCCGCGGUAAUACCAGCACCCCGAGUGGUCGGGACGUUUAUUGGGCCUAAAGCAUCCGUAGCCGGUUCUGCAAGUCUUCCGUUAAAUCCACCUGCUUAACAGAUGGGCCGCGGAAGAUACUAUAGAGCUAGGAGGCGGGAGAGGCAAGCGGUACUCGAUGGGUAGGGGUAAAAUCCGUUGAUCCAUUGAAGACCACCAGUGGCGAAGGCGGCUUGCCAGAACGCGCUCGACGGUGAGGGAUGAAAGCUGGGGGAGCAAACCGGAUUAGAUACCCGGGUAGUCCCAGCUGUAAACGAUGCAGACUCGGUGAUGAAUUGGCUUUAUGCCUAUUCAGUGCCGCAGGGAAGCCGUUAAGUUUGCCGCCUGGGGAGUACGGUCGCAAGACUGAAACUUAAAG
rnacentral:rRNA from 2 species